CCUACGGGUUGCACCAGUGGGGAAUACUGCACAAUGGGCGCAAGCCUGAUGCAGCCAUGCCGCGUGUAUGAAGAAGGCCUUCGGGUUGUAUAGUACUUUCAGCGGGGAGGAAGGUGUUGUGGUUAAUGACCACAGCAAUUGACGUUACCCGCAGAAGAAGCACCGGCUAACUCCGUGCCAGCAGCCGCGGUAAUACGGAGGGUGCAAGCGUUAAUCGGAAUUACUGGGCGUAAAGCGCACGCAGGCGGUCUGUCAAGUCGGAUGUGAAAUCCCCGGGCUCAACCUGGGUACUGCAUUCGAAACUGGCAGGCUAGAGUCUUGUAGAGGGGGGUAGAAUUCCAGGUGUAGCGGUGAAAUGCGUAGAGAUCUGGAGGAAUACCGGUGGCGAAGGCGGCCCCCUGGACAAAGACUGACGCUCAGGUGCGAAAGCGUGGGGAGCAAACAGGAUUAGAUACCCCAGUAGUC
rnacentral:rRNA from 1 species